AGUCUCUUUCCCUGCUGCGUGUGAAUGGAGAUGUGGAACUCUCAACUUCUCUAGUAACACAUCUGCCUGCCAUGAUGCUAAUAAGCUAAACCUCUGUAAACAAGCCCCCAAUUAAGUGUUUUCUUUUCUAGGAAUUGACUUGGUUAUAGUGUCUCUUCACAGCAAUAGGACAGUGACUGAGACAGGCACAACACUCAGCAGGUGUCUGUGAAAAUUAAAUAGCAUGCCUCUUCUACUUUCAUCCUUCUGCUGUGUUCAUUUCUGUCCAAAGCAAACUGGGGGUGAGGGAGUUUAUUUCAUCUUACAUUUCCAGGUCACUGUCGUGGUCUCUCAGCAUCUGCAGCUGCCUGCAACGGGCACCAGAUGGAGCCUAUCAGCAGUUACCAGGAAUGAGCAGAUGCUCACUGGGCCCUGCCCCUCCCUGCUGAGUCACCAGCUACUAAUGGAUUGUGGGAGAUGGAAAGAUACUGUCUUUAGUCACACAGCCACUGGUAAGCCCAUGGGGCUCCAAGAAAUAAUUCAAAAGUCACGACCGUGCUUAAACUCAGCAAGUCACAAAAAAAAAAGAACCAAGUCUUUAAAGGCAUCCACUGCUAAAACCUAUCUUCUUGAUCAUUGUGCAAAGGAAAUGAAAAUAUAUUACUUAAGUAUUUUGUUGCUGAAUUCAAGAGCAAUUGUGGUAUCAAUGAGGAAAAAGUUACCCAUUGUCUCCACAUCCUGUGUGAAUAUACCAAGAACAUCUUCUAGAACACAGUUUGUUAGGGGCUGCUGCUGUCUGCCCUCAUUAUUCAUUUAA
rnacentral:lncRNA from 1 species